GAUGAACGCUAGCGGCAGGCUUAAUACAUGCAAGUCGAGGGACAGCACAGGUAGCAAUACUGGGUGGUAACCGGCAAACGGGUGCGGAACACGUACACAACCUUCCUUUAAGUGGGGGAUAGCCCAGAGAAAUUUGGAUUAAUACCCCGUAAUAUAGUUUGAUGGCAUCAUCGGGCUAUUAUAGCUACGGCGCUUAAUGAUGGGUGUGCGGCUGAUUAGAUAGUUGGCGGGGUAACGGCCCACCAAGUCUACGAUCAGUAGCUGAUGUGAGAGCAUGAUCAGCCACACGGGCACUGAGACACGGGCCCGACUCCUACGGGAGGCAGCAGUAAGGAAUAUUGGUCAAUGGACGCAAGUCUGAACCAGCCAUGCCGCGUGAAGGAUUAAGGUCCUCUGGAUUGUAAACUUCUUUUAUUUGGGACGAAAAAGGGUCUUUCUAGAUCAACUGACGGUACCAGAUGAAUAAGCACCGGCUAACUCCGUGCCAGCCGCCGCGGUAAGAC
rnacentral:rRNA from 1 species